UAAGCAUAUCAAUAAGCGGAGGAAAAGAAACUAACGAGGAUUCCCCUAGUAACUGCGAGUGAAGCGGGAAAAGCUCAAAUUGAAAUCUGGCGGUCUUUGGCUGUCCGAGUUGUAAUCUAGAGAAGUGUUACCCGCGUUGGACCGUGUAUAAGUCUCCUGGAAUGGAGCGUCAUAGAGGGUGAGAAUCCCGUCUUUGACACGGACUACCAAGGCUUUGUGGUAUGCUCUCAAAGAGUCGAGUUGUUUGGGAAUGCAGCUCAAAAUGGGUGGUAAAUGCCAUCUAAAGCUAAAUAUUGGCGAGAGACCGAUAGCGAACAAGUACCGUGAGGGAAAGAUGAAAAGAACUUUGGAAAGAGAGUUAAACAGUACGUGAAAUUGCUGAAAGGGAAACGCUUAAAGUCAGUCGCGUUGGCUUGAAAUCAACCUUGCUUUUGCUGGGUGUACUUUCUAGUUGACGGGUCAACAUCAGUUUUGACCAGUGGAUAAAGUCAAUGGGAAUGUGGCUCCUUCGGGAGUGUUAUAGCCCAUAGUCGCAUACAUUGGUUGGGACUGAGGCUCUCAGCACGCCUUUAUGGCCUGGUUUCGACCAAGUUCGUGCUUAGGAUGUUGGCAUAAUGGCUUUAAUCGACCCGUCUUGAAACACGGACCAAGGAGUCUAACAUGCUUGCGAGUAUUUGGGUGGAAAACCCUUGUGCGUAAUGAAAGUGAAAGUUGAGAUCCCUGUCGUGGGGAGCAUCGACGCCUGGACCAGASCUUUUGUGACGGAUCCACGGUAGAGCACGUAUGUUGGGACCCGAAAGAUGGUGAACUAUGCCUGAAUAGGGUGAAGCCAGAGGAAACUCUGGUGGAGGCUCCGCAGCGAUU
rnacentral:rRNA from 1 species